rnacentral:rRNA from 1 species
GAUAAACGCUGGCGGCGUGGAUAAGGCAUGCAAGUCGAACGCCGAGCACAUAAGUUUCUUAUGUACUCGGAGUGGCGAACGGGUUAGUAACACGUAGAUACAAACCCCAUUCGCGGGUAUAACUAGUCGAAAGAUUAGCUAAUCCCCGAUAGUAUCGCCGAUGGGGCGAUUAAAGGUUUCGCAAGAAGCCGGAAUGGGAUUGGUCUGUGGCCUAUCAGCUAGUUGGUGAGGUAAUAGCUUACCAAGGCGAUGACGGGUAGGGGAGAUGAGAGUCUGUUCCCCAACAAGGGCACUGCGACACGGGCCCUACUCCUACGGGAGGCAGCAGUCGAGAAUAUUGGACAAUGGGGGAAACCCUGAUCCUGCGACGCCGCGUGCUCGAAGAAGCCCUUCGGGGUGUAAAGAGCUUUUCUAGGGGAAGAACCUUCGGGUGACGGUACCUUAGGAAUAAGGGGGUGCUAACUCUGUGCCAGCAGCAGCGGUAAUACAGAGCCCCCAAGCGUUAUCCGGAUUUAUUGGGCGUAAAGGGUCUGUAGGCGGUUUAGAAAGUCUCUGGUUAAAUACCAAGGGCUCAACCUUUGGUCUGCUAGAGAUACUGCUAAACUAGAGGGCGUUAGAGGCUGAUGGAAUGGUCGGUGUAGGGGUGAAAUCCGUUGAUAUCGACUAGAACACCAAAUGCGAAAGCAUUCAGCUGGGGCGACCCUGACGCUGAGAGACGAAAGCGUGGGUAGCAAAAAGGAUUAGAUACCCUUGUAGUCCACGCUGUAAACGAUGGACACUGGCUAUCUGAAGUGUCGACCCUUCAGGUGGCGAAGCUAACGCGUUAAGUGUCCCGCCUGGGAAGUACGACGGCAACGUUAAAACUCAAAGGAAUAGACGGGGACUCACACAAGCGGUGGAUCAUGUGGCUUAAUUCGACGAUAAACGAGGAACCUUACCAGGGCUUGACACCCGCCUGACAACUUUCCGAAAGGAGAGUUUUCUCACAAGGACGGGCGGGCA